CGUGGAGAGGAGAUCGUGGAGACAGUGUACUCAGCAGGACAGCAACGUCCUCUGGGUGGCUGCUGCGUCAGGGCAGGCCAGGCUCCUCAAGGUGCUUGCCGCACAGGAGAAAGCGAAGGCAUUCUGGUUUCCAUGGUAACUGUAACUGUGGCUCUUACUUGGUUUGGUGCAGGUUUUCUGAGUGUUUAAGAAAUAAUUGCAGGAGGAAGGUGCUGCGGCAGGGCUGGAGGUCGUGCGUGGGCAGACGGGGCAAGAGUUACUCCUGUUUGGGUGGCUGGUGAGAACUGGCUGGGAGAGUUGGUCUACCUGAGGAACUAACUGCAGGACUGGAUCUGCAGAUGUAACUUGCUUCUCCUUGCCUUCUGCUAUGAUUGUGGGGCCUCUCCAGCUACAUGGAACUGGUUACUCUGUCAUGAGUUACUGUAAUGGCCUGAGGUGUUUGGCCUCUAGCCAGGAGGUGGCACUUGCAAGAGAGCACCAACUGCAGUAAUAGAAGGGGGAUAUAAGCUUGUGCUAAGUUGGCCAGGAUAUAGAAAUAGGACAGACAAACAGAGUGGGACGAGAAAAUUCCUUCAAGAAUCACAGUUGUUGUGGAUCUCAAGGUGAUGCAGAUUCUGGCACAGAAAGGGAAGCACCAGCCCUGUUCUCUCCAUUCCACAUGGCAGUUCCUUCCUCUCUCAGGGAUGACUGCAGUCUUCUGCCAGGCCUGGGGUUUUCUACUUCUAGCCUGGGAACUAGGAGUAAUAAGCACGACAGAGCGAUCUGCACUUGCGUCGAAGAGCUGCAUUCCGUUCCAGUGGCUUUGGACUAGAAAAUCUCCUUCCCUGUUCAUUCAGCAAGAUGAGGCAAGAGUUGUCCUGGUCAUCCAACAACAUAGGGCAUAAAGGGUCUUCCCAUGUCAUCAUCUGCUGUUAUCUGGUACACUUUCCUCUCAACCUCCGUUCCUGUAGGUACACAUGCAUGACUGGACCUCAUCCCUUCUACCCACAGAACUCAACAGUCGUCUAUUUGAGAACCAGCAGGAGGUCAUAUUCUAUAUGUCCACAUAUGUAUCUGGGGAGACUGGCUGGCUGCAAGGCUUUGUAACCACCUUCCAGGCAGAUGACAAGAUGGAACCUUCUCAACAUACACCUCAGUUAAAAGUCAAGUCAAUAAAAGCCUGGCUGCAUGAAAGAGGAUGAUACAUAAAGACUGGCUGUAUACCUUUGUUUGAUCUGAGUAAGAAAUGCGUGCAUUCAAUGAGGCCACUGAGUUUAUGAUCAAACCUCCUCGUAAAGAAUAGAGCACAGAGAAACCCAUAUUCUUACCGUGUGACAAAUGAGACUGCGAACGUGGACCCUUCUUUAAAACUCCAGCUAAUUCAGGUUGCAGAAUGAAGUGUGCCAUGUCAUAAUUAAUCCCUCAUGUAUUGCAAGCAAUUUAAUGUCAAAAUAAUCAACAGGAGCGUUUUUUACCCUUUUGUGAGUACAUAAUAAAUACUGUCAUUUAGCUGCAGCAAACAUCGGGUUUCUUUCCUGGUCUUUGAAUAACACUCCUCGUGAGGUAAAUACCAGAUCUCCUUCUCCAUCUCCCCACACCCCCAAGCCCUACAAACC
rnacentral:lncRNA from 1 species